GACGAACGCUGGCGGCGUGCCUAAUACAUGCAAGUAGAACGCUGAAGGAGGAGCUUGCUCUUCUGGAUGAGUUGCGAACGGGUGAGUAACGCGUAGGUAACCUGCCUGGUAGCGGGGGAUAACUAUUGGAAACGAUAGCUAAUACCGCAUAAGAGUAGAUGUUGCAUGACAUUUACCUAAAAGGUGCAAUUGCAUCACUACCAGAUGGACCUGCGUUGUAUUAGCUAGUUGGUGGGGUAACGGCUCACCAAGGCGACGAUACAUAGCCGACCUGAGAGGGUGAUCGGCCACACUGGGACUGAGACACGGCCCAGACUCCUACGGGAGGCAGCAGUAGGGAAUCUUCGGCAAUGGACGGAAGUCUGACCGAGCAACGCCGCGUGAGUGAAGAAGGUUUUCGGAUCGUAAAGCUCUGUUGUAAGAGAAGAACGAGUGUGAGAGUGGAAAGUUC
rnacentral:rRNA from 1 species